UCUAAAAUGGAUAAUUUCAAAGGUUCUAAUUAUAGUGCUGUCUGUGAGCUGCUUUCUCCAGGGAGCGGUACAGCGUUUAUUUCCAUCCAGUUCUCAAAUACAGCGACUCCUUGUUCCAGUCCUGGCAACCUUCAUUGGCUGUAUCCAGGUGACAGACACAACAAACUACUCAUAGAACACAGAGCUGACUUAUUUCCAGCCAGCAGAGCUCACAAUUACUGGCACUGUUACUUUUUACAUGCCAAGCAUGGACGUAGAAAGGGGCAUAUUACGGAGACAAAAUCAUAAUGCAUCUGAAAGUAUUGCAGGCAGAACUGUACAUUUCAAGUCCGAGCAGAAGAGUCUUGUCAGUCCUGACGAAGAUACUUGCCGCAAAAAAUAUGAGGUUCCUUUAGAUGUUUAUGGUAAACCCGAAAUUCACCGUUGGAGAACAGCUUAUGAUGAGGCCUUUAAUUUGGAUAAUCAGGGACUGUGGAAAUGACAGAAGAAUUUGCUGCUAAGUGUAGGUGAAAGACGCUACAGCUAUUGCUAUGAAUGGAAAGAUCAGCUAUCAAUGAACUGCAAUGCAAUUAUUUUCUGACAGUGGCAGAGAUGAUGGAACUGUAAUGUCACCAGCAGUGGCGUAUCUUUAAUGGGUGCAGUGUGGGUCCGGAGGGGGCCCACGCAGCACACACUGCACCCGUUUCUCCCAAUCUUAAUUUCUGGCAUCCAUCGGUGUCCGUGUGUGGGCCCCUCCUCUCCCGAGUCCCGUAGCUGGCAGUACUAUUAGCGCUCUGAGAGAGCGCUAGAGACUCUGGCACAGUGCCAGAGUCUACAGCGCCUGCGUGGCCUUUGGCACAGUGCCAGAGUCUCUAGUGCUCACUCAGAGUGAUAACGGCGCCGCCGCUGCCGGCCGCUGGACGGAAGAGGAGGGGUCCCACACACACGGAGACUGCACACGGGUCCCCUCCUCUCUAGAUACACCCGUGGUCACUAAUAUAAGGGCUCAGAUUGCAAUGGAGCCUCGUUGAAGAUCAUUCAAAACUGGAACCCUGUCUUAGCCUCUCGGAAAACUUGGCUUGAUAACUGAAGCUCCUAAUGACUCUGCUCUUAUGCUCAAAUACUAAUAACAAAAUCUUUGUAUUCUCAAUAUUACAAAUAAAAUGCUUUUAAAUACUAAUAAA